rnacentral:rRNA from 1 species
AAUCAACGCUGGCGGCGUGCCUCAGACAUGCAAGUCGAACGCGAAAGUCCCCUUCGGGGGACAAGUAGAGUGGCGCACGGGUGAGUAACACGUAGGUAAUCUACCUUCGGAUGGGGAAUAACAACCGGAAACGGUUGCUAAUACCGCAUAAUGCAGCGGCACCUAAUGGUGACAGUUGUUAAAGCGGGGGAUCGAAAGACCUCGCGUCUGAAGAGGAGCCUGCGGCGGAUUAGCAGUUGGUAAGGUAACGGCUUACCAAGGCGACGAUCCGUAGCCGGCCUGAGAGGGCGGUCGGCCACACUGACACUGACAUACGGGUCAGACUCCUACGGGAGGCAGCAGUCGGGAAUUUUGGGCAA